AGUGAACGCUGGCGGCAGGCCUAAUACAUGCAAGUCGAACGGCAGCACGGCAGAGCUUGCUCUGUGGGUGGCGAGUGGCGGACGGGUGAGGAAUACAUGGGAAUCUGCCCAGUCGUGGGGGAUAACGUAGGGAAACUUACGCUAAUACCGCAUGCGCCCUUCGGGGAAAGCCGGGGACCUUCGGCCUGGCGCGAUUGGAUGAGCCCAUGUCGGAUUAGCUAGUUGGCGGGGUAAUGGCCCACCAAGGCGACGAUCCGUAGCUGGUCUGAGAGGAUGAUCAGCCACACUGGAACUGAGACACGGUCCAGACUCCUACGGGAGGCAGCAGUAGGGAAUAUUGGACAAUGGGCGCAAGCCUGAUCCAGCCAUGCCGCGUGAGUGAAGAAGGCCCUCGGGUUGUAAAGCUCUUUUGUCCGGAAAGAAAAGCGCCGGGUUAAUACCCUGGUGUCCUGACGGUACCGGAAGAAUAAGCACCGGCUAACUUCGUGCCAGCAGCCGUACGG
rnacentral:rRNA from 1 species